ensembl:lncRNA LINC01005 long intergenic non-protein coding RNA 1005
ACGUGACACUCCUGCAUGAGCCUUGCCCUAAGGGGAUAUUUUUACAUGUUGGUGAACUCAGCAUCUAGGUGAUGUGACUCUACUCUUCUGCCUGGGCCCUGCCCACAGAGGGCAUUGGAACAUUUCACUUGGCUCAGCACCAAGAAGAUGUUACUCUCCUACCUGGACCUCUCCCACAGGGGACACCUAGAUGAUAUGAUUUUUCUUCCUGGUUCCUGCCCAGACUUCAAAUUGUGAUGUAUAUCUGGGCCCAAAACACAGGGUCCAGGCAACAGAGGAGAGACACAUCACCUAUAUGAUUGGCCCAGCGAUGGGUGAAAAUCCUCUCUGAGAGCAGGGCCCAUUCAGGAGAGUCAUAUCACCUAGCUGCUUGGCCAAGUGAAAUAUCACAAUGCACCCUUUGCACAGGGCCAAUACAGGACAGUUACAUCACCAGGGAGCUGGGUCCAGCUAUAUGUCACAAUUCCUUUUGUGGAAAGUGUCCAGGCAGAAAAGCAGAGUCACAUCACCUAGCCAGUGGGCCCAGAGAGAUGCCACAAUGCCAUUUGUAGGCUGGGCCCUGGGAGAAGAAUAACAUCACCCAGUUCUGGGCCCAGCAAUAUGUUGUGAUCCCAACUGGAAAAAGUUUCCAGACAAGAGAGGAGAAUCACAUCAUCAUGAUGAUAAGCCAAGAGAUUUCACAAUCCCCCCCUCUGCACAUGUCCCAGGCAGAAGACCUGAAUUACCUUUUUACUUAGGCCAGUAAUGUCACAGUGCUUCCUCAGGGCAGGGCACAAACAAGAUAGGACAGUCACAUCAUUAAGUGCUAGACUUAAUGCUAGAUAUGUCAUAACCUUACUUGUGGGCAGGAUCCAGGAAGGAGAGAUUUAUGUCACCUAGGUGCUCAGUAAAGAGAUAUAUUACAAUUACAAUUCCUUUGAGGGAAGUGGCCAGGCAAAAUAGUCACAUCACCUAGGUGCUUGGCCCAGGUAUAAGUCACAAGAUAUCUGUGUGUUGAGCCCAGAAGGACUAUCAAAUUACGAAGUUUCUACGUAGAAGUGCAUGUCACAGACACCUGCAGGAAGGCCCAGGAAUGAGACUCCCAAUUCCACACAUUUUCCCACUCCAAGUGUAAGAGUCAACAACUCCUGAGACUUAGGCCCAAGUACAUGAGUCACAAUCUCAACAGUGGAUUGCAUCCUGCCAUGAGAGCCCCAAUCCCUUCUCUAAGCUGUGUUCCAGUAGAGGAGUCACAACAUCAAUGGUGUGCUGAAUCCUGGUUGGAGAGUUCCCACUUCACCUGUGGACUGGAUCUGUAUAUGAGAGUCUCAAUUCCAGCUCUCAACUGCCCCUGGGUGUGAGAUUCAGGACCUCAAUUGUGAGCUGUGUACACAUGGACAUGUAACAAUUUCUACUUUUGGCUGUGUGUUCAUACAAGACUCAAUCUCAUCUGUGUUCUCGGCCCUGUUAUGACACUCUUUGUACCACCCAUGGGAUUUAUUCAAUACGCAUGGGUGUCAUAAUCCUCUGUGAUCUUCAUACAAGUAGAAGACCCAGGACCUUACCCAUGGCCCUAGGCCUAUCUAUGAGAAUUGACAUUUUUCCUCACAUUUUUAAUUUUAACAAAUAAGUUAUUCUCCUGUCAGUUCAGAUUCAUCAGGACAUUGAAUCAUAUUCAGAAGAAUUAAAACUGAAAGACUAAUAGGUUUGUUAAAGCAAUGCAGGUUGUCAUACUAAUAAACCCUAAAAUUUCAAA